AGAUGUGAGGGUGAUCUGGCUGUGACAUCUAUCACCCCAUUGAUUGCCAAGGUUGAUUCGGCUGAUCUGGCUGGCUAGGCAGGUGUCCUCUUCCUCCCUCACUGCUCCAUGUGCGUCCCUCAUGAAGGUGCGUGCUCAGUGGAAGAGGAUGACGUCCCAGGUAUAGAAGAAGUGUACCCAGGUCUCCAGUCUUCGGUCCCGGGUAUAUGAUAG
rnacentral:snRNA from 1 species